UUGAGUACUUUGGCACUGAUUUAAAAUUCCAGGAACGCAGCCAAAAGAACAUCGAUAACCGUAAGAAACAGAAGACAAAACACAGAAUUGGAUCAAAAUCUUACUCGCAAAGAAACCCGGAAACUGGAGAAGAGCCAGAUUGUAUUACUCUGUGGGAACUCACCCACACAAAGAAUGGAACAUGGUCUAACACAGAGUCACA